rnacentral:lncRNA from 1 species
GAAGUACCCUACUAUGAAGGAGUACAUGCACCGCCUCGGUGUUUUUGCCAAGAACAUGAUCAGAGCCGCCGAGCACCAAGCUCUGGAUCCGACGGCGGUUCACGGCGUCACGCCGUUCUCGGAUCUGGAGGAGGAGGAGUUCAAGAGGAUGUACACCGGCGUAAGAGGUGCGCCCGGCUUAACCAACGGCGGAGGCGGUGCGGGAAGCACGGUUGAGCUUCUGGAUGUUAGCGGGUUGCCUGAGAGUUUUGAUUGGAGAGAAAAAGGAGCUGUUACUGAGGUCAAGAUGCAGGUAGUUAAUGUUACAGUUUCUAAUUUUCGUUUUUUUAUUAUUGUUUUUUUAGGUUGGUACUACACAAUAUAUGUGAUUAACAGUUUCGGACCGUACUUAAAUCCUAGCUUAUUGCAAAUCAAGUUAUGGCAAAUACGAUAUAGAAUUCUCGUAGCUGGUUGUAAAUUACUAAAUUGUGUAAUCUGAAGUCGAUCAGCUGAUCAGGUGCUGCUGGUUCUUUUGUUUAAUUGAUUGUAUAACUAGCUUGUGUUUGAGAGUUUGAAGUUUUGUACAGAAAGAUUUGUCUAAUGGAGCUAGGGUGUUUGUGGAACACGGAAUUUUUCUUCAGGCAAGGCGUUGUAUUGUGAUACUUAAAGCCUCUAAAUCUCUUGUUAUGGAUGCAGGGUGGCUGUGGGUCAUGCUGGGCCUUUAGCACAACAGGAGCUAUUGAAGGAGCCAAUUUCAUUGCCACUGGGAAGCUUGUUAGUCUCAGUGAACAGCAGCUUGUUGACUGUGAUCACCAGGUAAUUAAGCCUAGCCUCUCUGGAAUAUAUUGAAGUACUCAUUUAACUUUAGGGCGAUAAAAAUUUAAUUGAUUGAGCAUAUAUAUAAUAUUUGGCAUGCCUACUUAAUUAGUUUCGUUUAAUGUUUGUGGCAACUAUAAUCAAGUGUGAUGCAAAAGAGAAAGAUGCAUGUGAUCGUGGUUGUGGUGGCGGACUUAUGACAAAUGCCUACAAGUAUCUAAUGGAAAGCAGGAGGGGUUGCAAAGACGAGGUUUCAUACCCUAUACGGGGGAAAAAAGGGGCGAAAUGCAAAUUUAAUCCCUGAAAAAAGUAGCCGUGAGAGUAACCAAUUUCACCACUAUUCCCCUUGAUGAGAAUCAGAUUGCAGCGAACUUGGUCCACAAUGGUCCUCUUGCCAGUGAGUACUAAACCUGAUAAUAUGCUUAAAAAUAGCUAGGCUUUUUAUGUAUCUAUGUGUGCGUACAUAGAACUGCCUUAAGUGUCUUAUUUUCUGAAUAUGAUGUGCACUGUUUAGCAUAUUUAGAUCUGAGUGUAGAUACACCCCACUGAUACAGAAUCUUAAUUGAUGUAUGUAUGCGCAGUUGGCUUGAAUGCUAUGUUCAUGCAAACCUACAUUGGCGGUGUGUCAUGCCCUCUUGUUUGUUUCAAGAAAUGGGUGAACCACGGUGUUUUACUUGUUGGAUAUGGUGAGAGUGGCUUCUCGAUUCUCAGGCUCAGCAACAAGCCGUAUUGGAUCAUCAAGAAUUCAUGGAGCGCAAAAUGGGGAGAACAUGGUUAUUACCGACUUUGCCGAGGCCAUGGCAUGUGUGGGAUGAAUACUAUGGUGUCUGCAGUUGUGACCAGUACUCGGGCAUCCUAGCUGCAUCUCCCGAGAUUAGCUAGUAUACAAUUAUACACUAUAAUAUAUAUAUGCACCUCUCCCUUGUUUUUUCUUAAUCCGAAUUUGAUGUUCCUAUAAUCAUAUUUCAAGAAUAUUAUUGUUAAUAUGCCGAAGUGGAAAGUCUUGUUUACGUCAAAACCAAUUCGAACCAUAUUAUGUUAGCUUUAAAUGCUAGAUUGUCAGACUUCAAAUUUAAGUCGGGAAAAUUUUACAAUGUGUUAAUGUAUGUCAUGUAUUAAUUUUAUCCUAAAAUUGUAAAAUGAGUCUCUAAAAUAGUAAUAUUAGUACUCGAAGUUGUAAUAUAUAUGAGUAGUUGUAAAUUUUAUAGUUACAACAUUAGUCAUCAUGUGUCCUUAAUGUGUCUUUAAAGUAAAUUUUAUAGUUACAACAUUAGUUAUCAUGUGUACUUAAAGUGAUAAAUUGCGUGCUUAAAGUCGUAAUUGAAUCCUUAAAGUGAUUAAAAAAAGUUUUUAUAUCUUUGAGGAUUUGUAUUACAACUUUGAGGACUCAAUUACCAUUUUAAGGACACAUGAGGAUUAAUGUUGUAACUAAUUUUUUUUACAACUUUAAAGACUUAUAUUACAACUUUGAGGACUAGUUAAUAUUACUCCCGUAAAGACUCGAUCAUUUUAUAACUUGAGGACAAAGUUGAUGCAUCACAUGCAUUAACACACCAAAGUUGAUUCUCCACAAGCUUGUUGAAGAACUUGGUAGAAGUUUUGAUUUGUUGAAAGGCUUGAAGACGAGGGUUGAUCAAGGGCCGUAGAGGGUUGACGUUGAUCGAGUUUGGGCCACGAGCAGUUCCAUAUGGUGGUUGCUCUUCGUCUUGUAGUUGGUGAAGAUGUCUGCUAUUUAGCAAUUUGGGACUCUUUGGGAUUUGGCAACUUCUAAGCUUGAGAUUGAUGAAGAAUCGGCUAUUUGGCAACUUGAUGAUUCUUCAACGGUUUUGGGAGAAUUCUGAGUUCUCGGGAGUAAUUUUUUUCUCUUGUCCGGAAGUCCUUAUCUUGAUAUGAGAGGGGGUAUUUAUGGUGUCGAUGCUCCUCCGUAAAUAGAAUGCAUUAAAGUCACAACUUUAAUUGUAUUUCCUUAAUGAUAUAAUUAAAUCAAUCACUUUUGAUUGAUUGAUUCAAUUAUUCAAUUUACUAUAAUUAAAUCAAUCAAUCUUAAUUGAUCGAUUUAAUUAUGACCGAUAAGGUAUUUCACCAAUUUGAUUAAAUUCCGACUUCCUUUUCGAUAAUCGAUUUGAUUUGAUUGAUGUUUGAUUAUCGAUUGACAUUUAAUAUUUGAUUUUAGUCGGGAUUGAUGAUUUUGUUGUCGACCGACCAUUAUCAAGCCGCCAUGUGUUAUUUCCGAAGACUUUUCAACUUUGCUGACUCACGAGCCACGUAUGUAAUUUGUCAGGCCCAUGGGUUGUAUGAAUAAUUUAAUAAUUAUUAUUCUCAUUAAAUUUUAUGCGUCUACAAAUACCCCCACUUUAAGGUGUGUUGUAGUCAUGUUGUUGUCACGUGUCAGAGGUGCGACUUGAAGUUAUUUUUGAUGACACUUGUGGCGUGUUUUGCCAUCCACUCGUUUUUACGUCUGAAAUAUUGGUCCGUACCAUGAUGACAUUUUUGUUGCCUUUGAAAUUUGUAUUUUGAACGCUUGAGAAUCAUGCAUUGCGACCUUUCCAUAUGUUUAGAAUACAUGAGCAAUUUGCAUGCUUAGUGGAUAUGAUCUUCAUUUGAACAACUUCCAUACGUGGCUUUAAAUUUACCCGUCUCGCAACUAUUUUCAAUUGGUAGGAUUUGAAUGAGAGAUGAAAGCUUUUCUUUUCUUUUCUUAUCGAUUGAUGCGUGGCUGACAUUUCCUUCAUUGGUAUAAAUAAUUACCACCUUCUAAAUGAGUUUGGUCUUCUACAAGUAAGAAAUCGUGUAAUGGCUUGAUGACUUCUUGACCAAAUAGAAAAGUGAACGCAUGAUGACAUUAUAAAAUUGUACUGUAGGGUUUUGCCCUAAUCACUGUAUUCUCUUCCGUAGCUAGCCGCCCGCCCGUACUUCUUGUAAUUCUUUCUUCCUUCUUCUUUUUCUUUUUCUUUUUAUUUUUUUAUUUUACUGUAGGCCUCAGUCGUGAGUGAAGUUUGGUACGAAAAUAGGUCCAACCUUGUACCGCGAACUUGACAACGAAAUUGUGGAGGCAGGAUCAAUGCGAUGGUGCCAUGCAAUUGCGUUGUCGUAAUCCUCUCUAUUGUUUGAUUAUUGAUUUUACUAUCGCAUGCCUCCAUGCUUACUGACCCAUCCUUAUGCAUAGUGUAGUCGAUAUAUUUUUUUUCAGUUGCGGCUGAAGGGUCAUCUUUUCGGCAAGCACAGUUGAAGAAAACCCACGAGGUACGCACAGUUGAAGAAAACCUUCGAGAGACCAGAGCCUUGAGGUACUACUUUUGUUUUAGUUGAUUUUCUUAAUCCUUUGGCUUGUCCAUAUGCUUUCCGGAAGGAAACAAAGAUUGUCAAGAGUGACAACCCUCGUUUUUCAUGGUGGGUGAGCUUACUCUUUAAUCAACUUUGAUUGUCAUCUCAUUAUGCAAAGCGGCAAUUUUUUUUCUUCGCCAAGUUCGGCAGCAGCAUGGUACUAACUCUUUUUUCUAUUUUUCUUUUCAGAAUUUUGAUGGCAAAUUGAAGAACGCGAACACCUAACCGCUUGGUUUCUUUUACGUCUUGGACGUGAGAUAAACCGUUGAAAGUGUUUAGGCUUUACGUACCCUGACAGUAAUUGAAGAACAAGAACACCUAACCGCUUGAUUUAUUCCACGUUUAAGAUGUGGGAUAAAUUGCUUAAAGUGUUUAGGUUUUGCGUAGACGUAUACUAUUCCGCAUGGUGUUCUCCAAGAGUUUCAAGAAGGACACAAACAUCAUCUUUGAAGAUAUCGAGGAUAUUGAAAGUGAUGGCACCACCUCUCAUCUAAGCUCGCUCAUCUCUAACAACUUCUCGCUCAUCCUUGAUUUAACUAAUAACUUUGAGAUCAUGGGUUCAAACCUCACAGACAUAUGUAAGGUGCGUGAGUUAUUUAAUAAAAGUUUUUUUUUUUUAAAGAGCUCGCUCAUCAUGAUUUCACCUCUGUGAGCUUCGAGAAAUUUUUAAAUGCUACGGGAGGACCAUGUGGCAGUCUAACGUGGUCCUACGAUCCAAUCAAAUUUAGACAUGUGGAUUUUUUACAACUAAAAUAUAAACAAAUAUUUUCUAUUUUUUGUGAAAUGACAUUCAUGGGUAUUUAGCAAGUUCAAAUUAGGGUCUAGGGUAUAGGGUUUAAAGUUUAGGGUUAGAGUUUAGGGUAUAGGGUUUAGGGUUUAGGGUUUAGGGUUUGGGGUUUAGGGUUUAGGGCUUAGGGUUUAGUAUUAAAAAAACAACAAAAAAUCUAAAAUGGUCUUUGACAAAAUAGCUGAAAUAAUUUUUCGUAAAGAAAAUCUACAUGUCUAAAUUUGAUUGGAAAGAAGGCCCACGUCAGACUGCCACGUGGUCCUCCCGUAGCACUGAAAAAUUUCUCAUGAGCUUCAUUGACGUUUCUUCAACGUGGUGGUUGAUUCAAUUAUUUAAUUUACCAUAAUUAAAUUAAUAAUUAAAUUCAGUUUAUCUCUUUAAACUUUAAGUCGAAAAUUAGUUUGAUCCCUGAUUUUUUUUUUUUAUUUCACGUCAGUCUAUAUACUUUCACAAUUACAUCACUGUAGUCUAAAAUUUGAAUUUGGCGCUGAACAUGACUCUGUUGAUGUAGACCCGACAACAUGGCCCCAUUUUUAAGAUAUUAAAUUUUAAUUUGAACAUAAUGUCCAAACUACCCUUAUCUUCUUUUUUAGGAGAACAAAAAAUUAAUGUUGGGUGGGCUGGGUUUGAAGCCUAGACCUUAUCUUUUUUUUUUUUAAUCACGUCUGACUCUGCUGAUGUAGACCCGACAGCAUGGCCUCACUUUUAAGAUAUUAAAUUUUAAUUUGAACAUAAUGUCCAAACUACCCUUAUCUUCUUUUUUUAGGAGAACAAAAAAUUAAUGUUGGGUGGGCAGAGUUCGAAGCCUAGAGCUUGCUGUCAAAUACUAUGCUCCAAACCACUGGAGUAACUAUUGCUCAUAUACCUUUUAGUACAUCUAUAUUUAUUAGUACGAAAAAAUGAAAGGAAAAUAAUAAAUAAUAAAACUAUUUGUGAUUGUGUUCCUACCAUUCACGCCCAGACCUUUACUCCAUGCCUUCACUGAAGGUCAUAAUCCCAGAAUUUUUUUUUCUUUCAGUUUGUUUAUCCUCCUCUUCUUUUUCUUCUUUUUCCUUCAAAUCAAACUAUCAAAGAAAUCACGCUGCAAAUUCCGACCGGGAGGAUGAAGGGUGAGACGGCUUCUUCGUCGUCGGGGAAGCUAAGGAGCUUAAGGAUUGUUUCUGACGAUUCUUGAGCUUGGCAGAAGAGGGGUUUGAUAGGAAAUUCGGCAUCGAUGCGAUGGCGGAACUUCUCUGCUUUUGAGGAGCUUUGUGGCUGGAUUGGUGGGGUGGGGGGGGGGGGGGGGGGGGGAUUUGGGGGUUUGGGGUUUUCAAUGAAUUGGCUUGGUGGUCGACGGCGAUUCGGAGGUUGAAAUUGAUGGGGUGGCAUCCUCGAGGCUGCGUUCGAGGCCGGGAUCAGAGGGGUGAGGCGGAGGGACUAGGUCGUGGUCGCCUAAAGUUUAUUUUAUUUUAUUUUUUUUCCCUAGUCUCUUUAUUUCAAAAUGUCUGUUUUGUCCUUCUUAUGGGUCAUCCUGUCUGGUCCACAUCAGCAGAUGAUGUCAUGUUCGGAGUCAAAUUCAAAAUUUUAGACCACAUUGAUAUAAUUGUGAAAGUACAAGAACUGACGUGAUAAAAAAAAAUCAAGACCAAACUGAUUUUCGAACAAAAAAUUUGAGGGAGUAAACUGAAUUUAAUCCUUAAAUCAAUCAGUCUUAAUUAAUCGAUUUAAUUAUGACCGAUAAAGUAUUUCACUAAUUUGAUUAAAUUCCGACUUCAUUUUUAAUAAUCGAUUUGAUUUGAUUGAUGUCUGAUUAUCGAUUAAUGUUUAAUAUUUGAUUUUAAUUAGGAUUGAUGAUUUUGUUGUCGACCGACCAUUCACACGCCGCCACGUGACAUUUUCGAAGACUUUUCAACUUUACUGACUCACGAGCCACGUAUGCAAUUUGUCAGACCCCUGAGUUGUAUGAAUAAUUUCCGAAGACUUUUCGAUAAUCGAUUUGAUUUGAUUGAUAUCUGAUUAUUGAUUGACAUUUAAUAUUUGAUUUUAGUCGGGAUUGAUGAUUUUAUUGUCGACCGACCAUUCACACGCCGUCACGUGUCAUUUCCGAAAACUUUUCAACUUUGCUGACUCACGAGCCACAUAUGCAAUUUUUCGGGCCCCUGGGUUGUAUGAAUAAUUUAAUUGCUUCAGUUCUAUAUAUACCGCGUCCCACAUGUUUCAUCAAGUGUCAGAUAAUACAGAACCUACUUCGCCAAAAUGAAGAAAAUUGAGGUCAGUAUAAAUUCCAAACACACCAUCAAACCAUCAUCUUCCUCUACACCACUACAGCCUUACAAGCUUACCCUCCUGGACCAGCUCACUCCUCCAACGUAUGUCCCUAUGGUAUUCUUCUACCCCAUUACUGACCAUGUCUUCAAUCUUCCUCAAACCCUAGCAGACUUAAGACAAGCCCUUUCCGAGACUCUCACUUUGUACUAUCCACUCUCUGGAAGGGUCAAAAACAACCUAUACAUCGAUGAUUUUGAAGAGGGUAUCCCAUACCUUGAGGCUCGAGUGAAUUGUGACAUGACUGAUUUUCUAAGGCUUCGGAAAAUCGAGUGCCUAAAUGAGUUUGUUCCAAUAAAAACAUUUAGUAUGGAAGCAAUAUCUGAUGAGCGUUACCCCUUGCUUGGAGUUCAAGUCAACAUUUUGGACUCUGGAAUAGCAAUCGGUGUCUUCAUCUCUCACAAGCUCAUCGAUGGAAGAACGGCAUACUGUUUUCUCAAGUCCUGGGGUGCUGUUUUUCGAGGGUGUCGUGAAGAUGUCAUACAUCCUAGUCUCUCUGAAGCAGCAUUGCUUUUCCCACCGAGAGAUGACUUGCCUGAAAAGUAUGCCGGUCAGAUGGAAGGGUUAUGGUUUGCCGGAAAGAAUGUUGCUACAAGGAGAUUUGUAUUUGGUGCGAAAGUCAUAUCUUCAAUUCAAGAUGAAGCGAAGAGCGAGUCCGUGCCCAAGCCAUCACGAGUUCAGGCCGUCACUGGUUUUCUCUGGAAACAUCUAAUCGCUGCUUCUCGGGCACUAACAUCAGGUAAAAUCAGUUUAUCAACAAGCCAAAUAAUAAAGCCUAAUGUAUUUGGGGUACUUAUUUAUAUAUUUUUAUUACGUAUAUCUAGUGUACUGUGUACAUAGCUCAAAGAAUGAGAAAAUAUAUGAACUUGCAGGUACUACUUCAACAAAACUUUCUAUAGCAGCCCAGGCAGUGAACAUAAGAUCACGGAUGAACAUGGAGACGGUGUUGGAUAAUGCCACUGGAAACUUGAUGUGGUGGGCACCGGCCAUACUACAGCCAAGUCAUACAACACCAGAGAUUAGUGAUCUUAAGCUGUGUGACUUGGUUAACUUGCUCAAUGGAUCUGUCAAACAAUGUAACGGUGAUUACUUUGAGACUUUCAAGGGUAAAGAGGGAUAUGGAAGAAUGUGUGAGUAUCUAGAUUUUCAGAGGACUAUGAGUUCUAUGGAACCAGCACCAGAGAUUUAUUUAUUCUCGAGCUGGACUAAUUUUUUCAAUGCACUUGAUUUUGGAUGGGGGAGGACAUCAUGGAUUGGAGUUACGGGAAAAAUUGAAUCUGCAUUUUGCAAUUCCACAAUGUUGGUUCCAACACAAUGCGAUAAUGGAAUUGAAGCAUGGGUGAAUCUAGAAGAAGAGAAAAUGGCUAUGCUAGAACAAGAUCCCCAGUUUCUAGCGGUAGCAUCUCCAAACCCCCCAAUUUCAAGGUGUUGAUUAAAAAAGAUUAUGUGGCUCGUGCAAUGUUUCGAUUUUGUAGUGAAUAAGGUUUAAAUUAGUUCACCAGCCAAUCAAUAAGAUGCAAGUAUGAUAGACUCUGUCUACGUAUGUUAUCCGAAUGUGUUUUCGAUAUGCUUGUAACCAAUAUAGCUCUUGUUUGUAAUAAUGCUCUGUUAAGCUUCUAUCUAUAAAGUUAUUUCUCUUGAUUAAAGAAAAAACUAUACAAGUUUUGUUAAGCUUUAUUCUAUUUUUAAGAUAGGAUGUAUGUAGUACCUAUAAAGAUGGUUCACCUAUUAUUAUUUUCAAAUACAUGAUUAUCCGGUACAAUUACGUAGAAUAUUUCUAUAGCUAAAAAAAUGUAAUUUUGAUCCGUGACAACAUGAUUAAAAAAUUACAUAUUCUGAUACAUUUGUUCUCUAACGACAAGCAUGGCCAUAAUGCCUCACCUGAUCAUCUAUGUGAUGGGGUAGUGUCCUUUCUUUUUAAGAGAAGGUAGGCACCUAAUGUGAAGGCCUCUACGAGAGACUAAUAUUGUCUGAUCUUCUUUUGUUCAUCAAAUUAAAGAAACGAAAAUGGCCACAAUGCCUCACUAUUGAUAGAAGAUAGAACCAUACAAUAAUUUGGAACAUAUGCAUGGAGACAAGGAAAUAUAACACAAUAAAACCAUUAUAAUUUCACUUUAUGUGGGAAACUUGGCCAAAACCGAAUCACAUCCACGUUGGCAACAAAAAGUGACUGGAAAAAAAGAGCCCCCAAAAAGCUAAAACACUAUAAAAACCAGAAAACUUGAAUAAGCGAAAAACCAAAAGUAUGACAUUUACACACACACUCUAUCUCUCUCUCAAAGUCUGAAAACUUGCGCAAUAAGGUACCUAGCUCUCUGGUCUUUUCUUUCUAAUGCAUAUAAGUCCCUGUAAAUUUUAUGGCUUUUGGAAUGAUGAUUUUAUGCUUGUGGAUCUCAGAUGGGUUUGUUUUGUUUUGGGAUUUUUAUAAAUGAAUCCAUUGAAAAUGUUGAAAGCUUAUGCCUUUGUUCCUUGGUUCACUGUUCUGGUUUUGUAAAUUGUGUGUACGAGAGUUGAAAUGUUGGUUUUGGUAAAGAGAAAUGUUCUAUAACCAUGUAAGUUAUCUUCUAAAGUUGUUCGAGUACUGCAUAGGAAAUAACGACCUAAACUGCUAGAUGCUCUGAGAAACUUAAUUAUCCGAUUCGUUGUGAUAAAUUAAUAGAACCAUCAAUAGCCGUGAUAGUCCCUUAAUAUUUGGUGGCUAAUUAGCAAUGCAUUCAUGGUAGUUGCAUGUGCUUAUUUUGUGCAGUAUUCUAAUUCUAUCACUUGCAAAAUCGUUGUGGAAGGUCAAGAGGAGAAAACUGAAAAUGGGGCAGCAUGCAUCUCAUUUUAUUUUUUUAUGCAAUAGAGCCCUAUAUAUAAAAUAAAUAAUGUAUCUAUAACCUUCUCUAAUUAAUUUACUUAGUAAUUGACGCAAUUUGGCCGAACUGUUUCUAAACACACUAAGCUUCAGUUCUAUAUAUACCACGUACCACAUGUAUGAAUUCAUCAAGUGUCUGAUAAUACUAAACCUACUUCGACAAAAUGGAGAAAAUUGAGGUCAGUAUAAUUUCCAAACACACCAUCAAACCAUCAGCUUCCACUCCACGACUUCAGCCUUACAAGCUUACCCUCCUGGACCAGCUCACUCCUGCAAUGUAUGUCCCCAUGGUAUUCUUCUACCCCAUUACUGAUCCUGUCUUCAAUCUUCCUCAAACCCUAGCUGACUUAAGACAAGCCCUUUCCGAGACUCUCACUUUGUACUAUCCACUCUCUGGAAGGGUAAAAAACAACCUAUACAUCGAUGAUUUUGAAGAGGGUGUCCCAUACCUUGAGGCUCGAGUGAAUUGUGACAUAACUGAUUUCCUAAUGCUUCGGAAAAUCGAGUGCCUAAAUGAGUUUGUUCCAAUAAAAACAUUUAGUAUGGAAGCAAUAUCUGAUGAGCGUUACCCUUUGCUUGGAGUUCAAGUCAACAUUUUCGACUCUGGAAUAGCAAUCGGUGUCUCCGGCUCUCACAAGCUCAUUGAUGGAAGAACGGCAGACUGUUUUCUCAAGUCCUGGGGUGCUGUUUUUCGAGGGUGUCGUGAAGAUAUCAUACAUCCUUGUCUCUCUGAAGCAGCAUUGCUUUUCCCACCGAGAGAUGACCUGCCUGAAAAGUAUAUAGCUUUGAUGGAAGGGUUACGGUUUGCCGGAAAAAAAGUUUCUACGAGGAGAUUCGUAUUUGAUGCGAAAACCAUAUCUGCAAUUCAAGAUGAAGCGAAGAGCGAGUCCGUGCCCAAGCCAUCACGAGUUCAGGCCGUCACUGGUUUUCUCUGGAAACAUCUAAUCGUUGCUUCUCGGGCACUAACAUCAGGUAAAAUUAGUUUAUCAACAAGCCAAAUAAUAAAGCCUAAUGUAUUUGGGGUACUUAUUUAUAUAUUUUUAUUACGUAUAGCUAGUGUACUGUGUACAUAGCUCAAAGAAUGAGAAAAUAUAUGAACUUGCAGGUACUACUUCAACAAAACUUUCUAUAGCAGCCCAGGCAGUGAACAUAAGAUCACGGAUGAACAUGGAGACGGUGUUGGAUAAUGCCACUGGAAACUUGAUGUGGUGGGCACCGGCCAUACUAGAGCUAAGUCAUACAACACCAGAGAUUAGUGAUCUUAAGCUGUGUGACUUGGUUAACUUGCUCAAUGGAUCUGUCAAACAAUGUAACGAUGAUUACUUUGAGACUUUCAAGGGUAAAGAGGGAUAUGAAAGCAUGUGUGAGUAUCUAGAUUUUCAGAGGAUUAUGAGUUCUAUAGAACCAACACCAGAGAUUUAUACAUUCUCGAGCUGGACCAGUUUUUUCAACCAACUUGAUUUUGGAUGGGGGAGGUCAUCUUGGAUUGGAGUUACAGGAAAAAUUGAAUCUGCAUAUUGCAAUUCCACAGUGUUGGUUCCAACACAAUGCGAUACUGGAAUUGAAGCGUGGGUAAGUCUAGAAGAAGAGAAAAUGGCUACGCUAAAACAAGAUCCCCAGUUUCUAGCGGCAGCAUCUCCAAACCCCCCAGUUUCAAGGUGUUGAUUAAAAAAGAUUAUGUGGCUCGUGCAAUGUUUCUAUUUUGCAGUGAAUAAGGUUUAAAUUAGUUCACCCGUCGAUCAAUAAGAUGCAAGUAUGAUAGAUAUGUUAUUCGAAUGUGUUUCGAUAUGGUUGUAACCAAUUAAUAUAGCUCUUGUUUGUAACAAUGCUCUAUUAAGCUUCUAUCUAUAAAGUUAUUUCUCUAUUAAAAAAAAAACUAUGGAAGUGUUACCAAGCUUUGUUCUGUUUCAAAGGUAAGAUGCAUAUACUACCCGAAAAUAAUGUUCACCUAUCAUAAUUCUUCCACAUGAAAACCCGGUAAGAAUCACAUAAAAUAUUUCUAAUACUUUAGAAUCUAAUUUGGGUUUGUGACAACAUAAUUGAAGAGGUACAUAUUCUGAUACAUUCGUUAUUUAACGACAAGCAUGUACAUAAUACCUAACCUAGGAGGAGGGUGUACGUAGUGUUCUCUCUCCUUAAGAAGGCCUGCCUUUCGCGAAGGCCUCUUUCAAAGGACUGAUAUAAUAUAAUCUUCUUCUUUUUUUAAUCAAAAGAAACGAAAAUGGCUUCAUUGUUCAUAAUUUGGAAUAUAUGGUGGAUUGUACGGUGUUGUUUUGAGGGAGCUUCUCUCUCGGGUCAAGGGUUUCCAAUGGAUUUGUGCAAUGAGAUUUGAUUGGCAACAGUUAUUCGGGCAUCAACGCUCCAAUUUAGCACUCCUCAGUCCUCACUACCUCAUUGUUGUUGACGAUGGCGAUGACGACAUUAGCGAGCAUGGGUGAUGUGUGUGGCAUAUUUGUUUGUAUUGUUGCAUUAUUGCUUUCGGAUGUAAGGGCUUCGCCCUAUAGAUUAGCGAGCAAUUGGUCUCCUCUCAUUCUUUCUACCUUGAUCGAGUUGGAGAUCCAUGCACUUUAUUUGUAGUACUUUUUUUGGCCUCGCGUUUGCAAGCUUUGAAAUUCCCGUGAUUAAGGAAUUAUUCAUUUUUUACAAAAAAAAAGAAGAAGAUUUUUUCCUGAAAAAUAACACAACAACCAUCAUAAUUUCACUUUAUGUGGGAAAUUUAGCCAAAUCCGAAUCACAUCCACGUCGGCAACAGAGAGUGACUUGAAAGAAGUGCACCCAGAAAGCUAAAAAACCAUAAAAACUAGAAAACUUGAAUAAGGAAAAACUAAAGUAUGACAUUCCAAUCUAUUGUUUUAUGGUUUUUGAAGGAUUCAAAUUUGUCAACCACUUUUUACUUGACCACCUUAAUGACCACUAUCUAGAUUGGUGAUACGUGUCUUUUCAAAUUAUUUUACUUUAUUGUUUUAUUGUUGAUAAAAAAAAUAAACAUGUGUCACCAAUCUAAAUAGUGGUCAUUGAGAUGAUCAAGUAAAAGUGGUUGACAAAUUUGAAUCCAUUUCUUAUUGCGGUUUUGUUCUGCCAAAUCCAAAUCCCAUGACCCAAUCAUUUACACUCCCUCUCAAUCUCUGCAAAACUGACUGCUUCCCUUGAAAACGUGCGCAAUAAGGUACCUAGCUCUCUGCCCUUUUCCUUGUAAUGCAUUCAAGUCCCUGUAAAUUUUGUGGUUUUUGGUAAUGAUUUUAUGCUUGUGGAUCUCAAAUGGGUUUGGGUUUGUUUUGUUUUGGGAUUUUUAUAAAUGAAUGCAUUGGAAAUGUUAAAGCUUAUGCGUUUGUUCCAUGAUUCAGUGUUCUGCAAUUUGUGCCUUCUCUUCCGGAUCUGAUGUACGUGAUGUUCUAGCUAGUUGUCUUUUGGAUUGAAAAGAUAUUAUCUUUUGAUUGUUUUUGAUAGAACAUCAACAUCAAUCAUCAAUGAGAUGAAUCUGAAGUAGGUUAUUAGUUUGGAGAUAUGUUAAUGGUUAAUGAAUCAAGCUGAAGUUGUUCUGGUUAUUGGAGCAAUAGGUUCCAUACUGAAGCAUCUAAUUUUGAAUUUGCAAAGAGUGGUUGACGAGUUAUCCUUGGGAUUGGCGGGUGACAUUGAAAAAGUCUUGGUUUUGUGUAUAAGAGUUGAAAUGUGAUUUCUUUACUGUUACCAUGAUGUGGGUUCUACUAAAAGACUCGUUCUUGAAUCUGGGGUCAUGUCCUGUGAUGACUCAAUUCUUGCAAAACACAACUGAGAUGUGUCAAAAUGGGUUCGGGAGCGUCUUUAUAUAUCGAAGUAUCAUGAGUUUCGAUACUAAGUGAGGGUGCUGGAUAGAAUUGAGUUUGGAGGUUCAAUGCUUCAAAAACAAAGAAGCUAGAGGGAACGUAAUUCUUGAUGAUUCAAGACGGAUCAAUGACCUUGUAAUUAAGUUGCUUAUGUGCAAUUGUUGAGCUUAUGGUGUUUCCAGUUUGGAUACGGAUAGCUAUUUCUGUUUUCAGUAUAACCACCAUGUGUUGCAUCCUCUUACUCUUCAUCUUCAUUUACCUAUCUUUGAUCUGAUGUUCCAUUGGCAGAGCUCCCUUAUGCUAAACUGUAAAACCUGCAUUCCAGGUGGUCAUUCUGUUAGAACUUUGGAAGGUCUCGGAAAGGAAACACUCGUCGACAAAUUUUGGGAGCAGUUGCAUAAAAGGAAUGGUCUCCCAACUCGGAGAUAAUGGAGACGCGUACUGGAAAUUCCCGUCCCAAUAAAAAGCAAUCGUCGGAGAAGUCUAAAUCUGCCACUGAAGAGAAAAGGCCUGCAGAAAAGAAGCAAACACUUCUGUGUUUGUCAACUAUGGUAAGUUCAUUAGAUAGUAAGUACUGAGUUUUCUAACAUCGGUGUAACACCAUGCAACUAACUCAGUACUGUAGAAUAGACAUCUAUGUUAGUCUCUUUAGAUAAUAUGCACACUUUAACUUUUCAAAUGACGUCCUGCAUUAGUUAGUCAACUGUUCAAAAUCUCGUAGGUUACAAUUUUCCCAUCUCCAAAACCAAGUGUCCAUAAUCUUUUUCCCUCUUUGUUCACUAAACUAGUAAACUCCUCGUUUAGAUUAAUGUUCUAAAUCUUUUAGUUUUUGUUCCAUCUUGACAUAACUUGUGGCUCAUUACCUACGUUGCAUGGAAUCGGAAGCGGAAACGUGGAAGCGAAGCGUUUGGAAGCGCGGAAGCGAUUUUUUUGAAAAUAAUUUGGAAGCGAAAGCGUUUUAGAAAUGUGAGAAUCAAAAUAAUAUAUACAAAUAACAAAUAUAUAUCACCUAAUUUUAAUUUCAUUCAUUUAUUUUAAUCGUUAAUUUUAAUAAGUUGUACAAAUUAGUUUGAUUGUUUAGCAGAUAACAACUCAUUCUUAAAAAAAAAAGAUAUCACUAAACCUUAUAAAAAUAAACUUCUUCACUAAAAAAAAGUCCACCAUGAAAUAUUGAAAGCACACGUCUCUCUAAUCUCUACACCUUUUAAUCUUCUUUCUUCACCUCUCUAUGCUCUCUCACCCUCCAGGUUGCCGUCAUCUUCUUUAACUUCAUUCUCUCUCACUCCUCUCCCUCCCUCCAGUUUCAAAUCCUUUCUUAACAGGUCCUCAAGCAGAAGAUCUGAUUGAUUAUAGAUUUCGAAAGAGAUAGAGAGAAGAUUGAUGUGCCGCUGAAUCAGUUCUCGUGCAGUGGACCAUCGCGCUUCCAAAUCAAAAUCGUGAGCUUCCAUAUUGGAAGCAUGCGCUUCCGUCGUGCUUCCAAAACCCUCUUUUCCCGGAAUCACGAUUCCGGGCGCUUCCGAGCGCUUCCACGGCGUUUCCGCUUCGCUUCCGCUUCGGAAGCGGGCGAGUGGCCCGGCGCUUCCGUGCUUCCUAGCUCAUUACUGCCCUGUAAACCAACUACGGCCGAGUUGUACCAAAAGGAAAUUCGGCCUCUCAUCAAUGAGUAAAGGUUUUUUUUUUUUUUUUCUUCCUUUUGUGGGGGAAGAAGAAGUAUGCAAUAAUUUUGGAAGUAACAUAUCCCCUAUCACCAUUCCUUGCAACAAGCAAUUACUUCUGGCAUUUUGUGGUUGAUGUUGAUCAUUUUGUAACUUUUGUUCUUUCAUGAUAAUAAAGCUAAUUUCUCAUGUAGCUGCAAUUGCUUGGCAUGAGAGUAGAAGAAAGUGGAUAGGGGAUCAGCGGCUGCAAAGAAUGGCCAAGGAUCCAAUUAUAAGGUAUUUUUUCCUCACAAAGGUUCCUGGAUAGAAUGGGGUUAGCAAGUCAUGGUUAAAGAGUUGCACCUUAAAGUUUAAUAACAAAAGAAAAGUUGGAGAGCAUAACUGCCAUAACUUAUAUUCUUUGUAGGUACAAAUGAACUCAUUAACACUGGUGUGUCAGUUUUUAGGAAAUUACACUUAUAUUUGAGUAUCUGUCACUCUGUCCACUACUUGCACCCUGACUUGCUGAUCUGUAAAUCCUAGAUUUUUCAAAAUUGCUCCUUUAGUCCUUUUGUUUGGUGUGUGUCCAUAUUAGUAGCUUUGUCCAUUUAUGCUGUUAAAUUGUAGCUGCUAUAUGAAUGUCAGGAAGUUAAAUGUGAAAACUAUAUGCUGCAUAUUAUAGCACCAUUGUAAUGAUUGAUGAUAUUAGUGUCUUUGUCCAAUUAUUUUCUGUUCAAUUAUUGCUACUUCUUGAAGAUAAUGUGGAAAGUUUAUGUUUCAGCUGGUCAACAGCCUAUGAGGAUCUACUCUCAACCAAUGAGUGUUUUUCUGAGCCGAUCCCCUUAACUGUAAGUCGAUCAUAUAAUAGCACAUACCUGUCCAAUAAAUAUCUUCUGAUAAGUCAUAUAUCUCUAUUACUUGUGUUUAUUUGACAUUGGAAAUAUUUUCUAAAGUUUGAUGUUUUUAUAAAAUUGGUUUUAAGCAUGUUUUCAUACUGGAGCUCCACUUUAUGUUUUCAAAAGUCAUGGGUAGUUUUCUUGAGCAGCGAGGACGAAAACUCAUCCCUACAACAGUUUGUGGAUGCAUGUAUUGUGCACUGGGACAAGAUAAUGGCGAGGAGUUGGGUGUGCAUGUUUGUGAUCGGUAAUUUAUUUUCUAUGCUUACAUGUUUAUUUUUAGACUCAAGUUACAUGUUUAAAUUGUAUUCUGUUGGCCUUGUUAUAAUCUCAUCCGUGAUUCUAUUAAUGAAGCUUGUUAAUUACUGGCCAUUCCUUAUAUCAAGUUUUAUACGAACAUAAGAGUCUAAUCCUGAUAUGAUUUUGUCUUGUGAGACUCUCAUUGCAAUUUGUAUUCUUUUGAGUUCAUUAUUUCUUAACGUUUAUUGUGUUAGGUUUUAGACGAAUGACUUUACCUUAAGCAAAUUAAAUAUUUUUCUUUUACAUACACCUCAAAUAGUUUUACGCUUCCGUGGUGUUUGCUUAAAUGAUUUCUUAAAUAAACUGUCUUGCGUUUCUCUUGGUUUUUAUUUUAGAGACAUGCGGCACUGUGACGUGUCUAAACUAAGGAGGCGUAGUUUGGGGCGUUACAGAUUUAAUCUUUACACACUAUGAGAAUAUCAAAAUAUCACGAUAUUUGUGCAAAACUCACGAAAUCUUGUUAUUAAAUCAGCCGAAGUCAUCAUAUAUAGUCAUUAACUCGGGCCAAACUUAUAAAAUUAACACUAAAGUCUUGGCGCAGCUAACAUGAUUUGAACCCAGGUUGCCACAUGUUUGUAACAUCCUGAAAUUUCAAAUUUUUAUUUUUAAAAGGAAAGUUAUUUUUAUUUCGAUUUCUAUUAUUCUUUUAAAUUCUUUAUAGUUUUUGAAAAUUAUUCAAAUUUUGUUUUUGGAGCCCAUCGGAUUAAACUAGAGGCCGUGAUGAAUUUGUGGGAUUUUUCGGAACACCGUUUGGAUAUCGGAUAUAUUUUUAAUGAUUUUUAGAAGUUGGUAUUAUCUAAAAAUUUAAUUAAAAAUAGAAAAUCAAGGUCGGUCAAAUUUGGUCCGUCCAGAUUAUAUGGGUAUGGAUCAACUUGGACUUCAUUAUACCCAGUCCCAGACCGACUCCGUCUCCAGCCUCUAUCAGCGACGGAGACCUCCGGUCACUCCUCCGUUGUCCGGCCGUCUCCCGCCGCAAAACGACUGUCUACAGCUCUGUCUCGACGUCCCCGACCUCCCUGGGAUUCCAGCUUGAUGAGUGGAGCUCCGGAAAAGGAGGAGAGAAGGCGACUGUGUUUCCGAUCGGGUUUCCGAUUCCGGUGACGGCGGCGAGCGUGAAUGGUACUGGAAGCAUCCUCUCGUCCUCGUGGUCUUCCCUAUGUCCUCAGUUUCUUCAGAAGAGGUCGGGAGAGAGAGAUUCGAAGUGGAGAAGGAGAGGCUGGGUUCGCCGGCGAGUUUCCGAUUCCGGCCAAGUCGAGGUUUCUCACUGGUAUGAAUAGCUUCAUGUCGGUCUCGGGAACCUUUCCAUGUUGGUGGUUUUCGAAGAGAAGCUCGGAGGAGGGAGAAUCGAAGAGGAGAAGUUUCUGAAUUUUCCGGCGAGGGUUCGACGGAUUCCGGUGAAGCUUGAUGUCGACUCAGGUAUUAAAGUUGGUCUAUUCGAUGAGCUUUACAUGUUUCUAUAAUUGAAAUUGAGAUUGGUUGGGUGUUGGAGAAGUGGGAUUUUGGACAGGUUGUCGACCACCGUGUACGGCGGCGGCGGCGGUUGUUCUUGUAGUUUCUGGCUUUUGUUAAUACAUUGAUUGUGGAGGAGUGUUUUGAGAUGUAUUAGAAUUGCAGGAACAUGAGAAUUGUAUGAAGUUGGGUUUUGAGCAGUGUGGUGUGUGGCCACUGUUCACGGCGGCUAUGGUGGUGUUUUGAAAUCAGAAGACUUGUGUGAGGGAGAGGUUGAAGAUGUGUAUUAUGUUUGGUAUGAGUGUUCAUUCAAUUGGCUUUGGUAUUUGAGAGCAGGGUGCUACGAAUAUCUUGGUUUUGUGAUCAAAGUUGAAGUAAAGCAUAUAUGUUUGUAUGGUUGUGAGAUAUGGUGGUAACUGCAGCAAUGGAUAGUUGAUCAAGGUUCACAUGAUCUUGGAACAAAUGUCCAGUCGAUAACUUUAAGAUGUAAUUGGUAUUGCUAUGCUUGAACAAUUGUGUUUCGGUGGAUUGAAGAUUUGCCGGAAGGUGUGUAGUAAGAUGGGUGUCCAAAGUAAUUGAUGGAGACUGGUGUGUUCUCUUUUGAAUUAUUGUUAGAGAAAGAUGAUUAGAGGAGUUGGGUGUAAUGAACGUUAAGUUGGCUUUGCUGGGUUGUUGUGGAGUCUUAAGAGCAGUAUGGGUACGGGAACAGAAGAAUUGGAUUUUCAUUACUUUCAUAUGGAUUUGAUGUGUUGCUGGGGAGUAGGAAACAGUAAAGGAUUUAGGUUUGGUCAUGUCUGGGUUCGUUGAUAAGUUGUUAUGCCUACAAUUAAGACAUGAGAAGAUUGAUCAAGUUUGAGAUAGGCAAAUAUAAAGGAUUUAGUAGAAAAGAGGAAUUGGGUGUAGAGAGUAAAUUCGGUGCUUAGCUUGGUGCUUGGAGCAUGGUUGGGAUACGACUAAUUAUGGGUGGCGUGUGAUUUGGUAAUUGUCGGAAAAGGUGAGCGGAAUUGGAAAUAAAGAUUUUGAUCGUUUCUAAUUAAAGUGUUUGCCGACUUUAUUGGAACAAGGAUUUGAUGUGAGGGAGCAUGUUGCAAUCCGAGGAGCAGAAUGAUAAGGAUUUCAAAAUGCGUGCCGCGGUGUUAUUAAUUUUAGUAAGCGUCGGAGUCAAGGCUUGGAUUCCAGGUAGGGUCUCUCUCAGGGAACUUUUCUUUAAAUUGAUAAUUAGGUUAUUGUUGAAAUCGGUGCAUUGUGUGGCAUUGGUUGAUAUAACUCUUGGUUGUUAUCGAUUUUGUUAAAAGCAUGUGAUAUCGUUGAUUUAUAUGAAAUUAAUGUUAUUGCUUUCCGUAAAAGCAUGAGUUGAAUGUUAUGAUAUGAGUAUUGAUAUUCAAUUGACAUGCAUAAUGCAUUGUGAGGAAUUGUGAGAAGUGAGAUUGGUGAUUCUGGAGAUGAGAAAGAGAUUGAUAGAAUAGAUACAUUUUGUGUAGUUGAGUUUCCUCAUGGGUUGUCCAAGAUCCAGGGUAGUCCACACGUGCAUAAGUUCAGGGAAUGUAUGCCAUUUCGAUGGCGGACAUCGACAAAACAAUUUUAUCGGGUUUCGGGUUUGGAGACCAUGAGUAUAACAAGAUGAUUAACAAUAGAGGUACAAGCCAUAAGAUAUUACUGAUUAUUAGAUCAUAUAUUUGAGACAUUUGUGUCACCCCCGGUUGGUAAAAUACACGGUAUGGGACGUGUAGGCUCACAUAUCUUUGAUGUAUGGACUGAUAGCCAGUAAUUGAGGAAGACAUUCAUUAGCAUACAUGUAUCAAAUUGUCGUUAUUUAUUUAAAGUAUUAUUUGAUGUUUGAUAACUUGUUUGUGCGAUGUAGUUAAUUAUAACUUAAAAAGGUUUGGCUCUUUGGCCCUACUAAGCGUAAGCUCACCCCUAUAAACUUUUGUUCAGGUACGUUUGAGGACACGUUUUUCUAGAAGCGUAACUGUGAAGUUUAGCUGACGUGUACGAGAGUAGAAGAGUUACAGAAGAUUAGAAGUCAGAUAGAUCGUAAGGGCUUAUCUUUUUGUCUUUGUAAUUGUUUUUUGUUAUUGUAAACGUUUUAUUUUCUUUUAUUUCUGGAAAAGUAUUUGAAAUUGUUUUAUUUUCUUUUACUUUUCCCGCUCAUGUCUCGGGUACGGCGUCAGGUGCUUGGAAACCACCGACACCGGGUCCGGGGUUUGAUGUAUGGACUAGCCAGUAAUUGAGGAAGACAUUCAUUAGCAUACAUGUAUCAAAUUGUCGUUAUUUAUUUAAAGUAUUAUUUGAUGUUUGAUCACUUGUUUGUGCGAUGUAGUUAAGUAUAACCUAAAAAGGUUUGGCUCUACUGAGUGUAAGCUCAUCCCUAUAGAUUUUUGUUUAGGUACGUUUGAGGAUACGUAUUUCUAGAAGCGUAACUGUGAAGUUUAGCUGACGUGUACGAGAGUAAAAGAGUUACGGAAGAUUAGAAGUCAGAUAGAUUGUAAGGGCUCAUCUUUUUGUCUUUGUAAUUGUUUUUUGUUAUUGUAAACGUUUUAUUUUCUUUUAUUUCUGGAAAAGUAUUUGAAAUUGUUUUAUUUUCUUUUAUUUUUUCCGCUCACGUCUUGGGUACGGCAUCAGGUGCUUGGAAAUCACCGACACCGGAUCCGGGGUGUGACAAUGGUAUAUCUCACAUUCUCAACCAAUCCUCCUAAGGUGAUACUUGAUUACUACAUUGAACAUUUUAUUAUAAACUCUACAUAUAUUUUCAUACUUUUAAAAUUUCUUUUCGAAAUUUUAUUAAUAUUGAUAUUUUCUAAUAUUUUUAUCAAAAUAUCUAUUUUUCAGAUAGUCAAAAUUUUCUUGAAACGUGAUAUUUUUGUAAUAUAUCGAAAUUUCAAAUUUUUAUUUUUAAAAGAAAAAUUAUUUCCGAGCUAUUUUUAUUUCGAUUUCUAUUAUUUCUUUCAAUUCUUUGUAGCUUUCGAAAAUUAUUUCAAUUUUUAGUUUGUCAAAAUUUAUCUUUUGAGUCCAUAGGAUUAACGGAAGCGUUUUCGGACAUCGGAGCUAUUUUUAAUAAUUUUUAGAAGUUAAUAUCGUCUAAAAAAAAAAUAUUUUUAAACCCGCUUGAUCUGGACCGUUGGAUCAUUUAAACCGCAAGAUCUGGGCUGGGGGAGACUGGAUCAGAUCAGUUCAGACCCAGACUGGGUCAGCCUCGAUCCAAAUAGCAGCGACGGGUGACCGGACUGCCGCUUUGUCCUCCAGCGACGGCGUGGGGAAAUCAUGGCAGCUUCGGCUUCGUCUCGGUCGCCUGAUCCUAUCUGUGGUCUCGAUUUCGUCGAUGGAGCUUCGAUGAGAGAGAAUCGAAGAAGGGUAGCUUUUUCUGGGUUUGUCGACGAGUUUACUAUUUCAGCCACGGCGGCGAGCAUGAUCGGUCUUGGUAGCUUCACCUCGACCUGUUGAACAUUUCUUUGAAGAGAAGGUCGGAGGAGGGAGAAUCGAAGAGAAGAAGUUUUUAGGUUUUAGGCAGUGUUCUUGGUGUUUUCCGGCGACCUCGGACUUCAAUUCAGGUAUCAAAGUUGGUCGACUCGUCAAGCCCUACAUCUCUAUAUAAUUGGUUUUCAUUUUUGAUUAAGUUUUGAAGAAUCGAAGUUUUGGGGUUUUACUGUGCAAUUUGAGUUUUCCUGUUUGUGUGGUGAUUUUGGUUGCCUUGGGGCGUUCUUCGAUUGGAAUUGACUUUAUGAAGUUGAUUUGAUGAUCUUAAGCCCUUGAAUUACAUAAUUGGAAAAGUUGGGUUUUGGGGCAGUGUUGUUCGGCGAUGGAAGUGGUGGUUGAUGGUUCUGGGUUUGGUUUAUGUUUUAGAUGAAAUUACAAGAGCAUUAGAACUUAAUUAUGUUGUUGUGUCGCCUGGAUUCCAUAAACGGAGAAGUUGAGUGUAAGAAAAUUAGAGUUAUGCAAUUUGGAAUUGAGCUAAGAUUGGAGUAGAUGAUAGUAUCGGGUUUUCUGCUGAUUUUGGUUUAUUGUUUGUGGUGGUGACUGCAGUAUUCUUGUUCCAUUUCCAAUCAUAUGAAAGUGCAGGAACAUGAAUUUGGAUGCUUGAUUGGUAAAAGAUGAGUUUUGGGUGGUAGGAAAUGGAGCUGUGUUAUUGGAAUAGGGAGGGGAAGAUGGUUGUGUAUAGUACUAAUACUGAACUUGGCGGAGUUGAAGGAUGCAACUAAGAACUGUUGAUUUGCGAUAUGGAACUAGGAGCUUGAUUUCAAAUGGAGAAAGUGAGUAUUGGCAAGUGCAGGAGUAGGACAACUUGAGAAGUAUAAAUUGGCUAAAGAGCUUAUGGGUGUCCUUAUCAAUUUCAAAGACUGGAUUGCAUCGACUUGAAAUCAUCAGAGUGAAUAAAUGCGGAUUAAGGAACUCAUCUGGGUGUCUUAGUAGAUUUAUGAAUUCGGUCCGGUUGACUUAAAGUGACUUAAAUUUGGCUUAAAGUGAGUUUUGCGGAUUAAGGAUUCAGGGUGUCCUUAGUAAUUUUAAGAACAUGAUCAAUUUUGGAAAUUGAUUUAGUUUAUUUGAGGUUCGACGGCUUUCUCGGUAAGGAAUUGUGACGAGGAUCGAGUGACUAUCGACUUUUUCAGAAGCAGAAGGAUAAAGAUUUCAGAAUGCGUGUCGCUGAGUUAUUAGUUUUAAUUAGCGUCAGAACUAGCGCUCGGAUUUCAGGUAUGGUCUUUCUUGGGGAACCUUUUUUUAAAUUGAUAAUUAGAUUGUUAUUGAAAUUGGUGAAUUGUUUGUCAUUGAGUGAUUAACUCUUGGAUGUUACUGCUUUCUAUAAAAGCAUGUGUAAUCGUUGAGUUAUAUGAUUGUUAUUAUCGCUUUUCUUAAAAAGUAUGUGUUGGAUGAUAUAAUAUGAGUAUUGUUAUUCGUUGCAUACAUAAUGCAUUUUGAAGAAUUAUGAGAUUAGUGAGAUUGGUGAUUAUGGAGAGGUGAGAACGAGAUCAAAAUAUACAUUUUGUACAGUUGAGUUUCCUUAUGGGUUGUCCAUAAAUCUAUGUCAUCCCACUUGCGCAAAUGAGUGGGCAAAGUAUACUCCUUCGAUGGCGGACAUCAAUAAAACGAUCUUUCGGGUUUCGGUUUUGGAGAGUAUGAGUAUAACAAGAUGACUAACAAAAGAGGUACAGGUGAUGAGAUAUUACUGAUUGUUAGAUCAUAUAUUCGAGACAUCUGAGUCACCCAUGGUUGGUAAAAUACACUGUAUGAGACGUGUAACUGAGGAAGACAUUCAUUAGCAUAUAUGCAUCUAAUUAUCGUUAUAUAUUUAAAGUAUUGUUUGAUACUUGAUAACUUGAUUGUGUGACGACAUAGUUAAAUGUAACUAAAGAGGUUUGGCCCUACUAAGCGUGAGCUCAUCCCUAUAUACUCUUAUUCAGGUUCAUACAAGGACACAUAUUUGUAGAAGACUAACUGUGACGUUUAGUUGACGUGAACGAGAGUCGAGAAGGACUACCGAAGUUUCUAGUGAGCUAAACAACAAGACUAGUUUUACCUUUAUAGUGAGCUAGACUGCAAGACUUGUUUUGUCUUUAUAAUCGGUUUUGUUUUUUGUAAUCGUUUUAUUUUCGACUAUUUCGAGAAAAAUAUUUAAAAUUAUUUUAUUUUCUUUUAUUUUUCCCGCUCACGCCUCGGAUUCGGUGUUAAGUGUUUGGAAACCACCGACACCGGGUCAGGGGUGUGACAAUUUUAGUCCUUGGUUUGAUGCCUAAGCUACUUCGCUCCUCCAAACUGGGCCGGUGUUGGAUCAAACAAACAGAAACUUGAAAGAAGGAGUCCGAUACAAGUCAUACAACUACGUUGGUCGGAGCGGAUUUUACGCAUCAAGGUGCCCUUGCACCAUUAAUCUGUAAGUUUUUAAAUCUUCGUAUGCAAAGAUUUAAUGAAGACUAGAGACCUUAAAUUCUUUUCUUUCAUUUUUAUUUUUGACCUGAUCAAAUUAAACGCCAAUAAUUAGAGUACCUCUUAUUCAAUCUCAUGUCCUCAUCUCUUGUGUUGAAAACACUUUUGAUUAUUUUUUUGAGUUUUAAUUUUGUUAAUGGUAUUAAAAUACAUGCAUGAUAAUGCGACAUAGAUGAUCGGAUCAAAACAUUGCGUAUUAAUUGCUCGAUUCACUUGUAGAAGAAUUUUCGAGCUUCGGGCCAAUAUUCCAUUUUUCUUUUUAAUAAAAAAUUCUAGCAGCUAGACAGCUAGUUAACCAAUUGUGAAGCUACACAACUGGGACUUGCAGCGGAAAACAACUACCACGCGUUGCAUGGAGAGGUUAGGUCCUGCAUGCAACUCCGCCGCCCGUAAAUCUCCUACUGACAGCUCUACCCCUCGAUUUGCAGAUACUGAUGUAAAACCCGAGGACAAAACGGUAAUCGUUGAUACUCCGAGCCAGACAUAAAACUAUCCAAGAACAAAGAGGAGACACCACAGGAAAAAUGACCGGACCGCCUCUACCUCGACCCUUUCUAACGUGCUUGGUUGGUGUAGCAGUCUUAACCUGCGCACUAACCUUCUGUGUUGCCCUAGAUGUCACCCCCCAAGACCCAAUCAUCCACCAAGUCACAGACCAUGAUACUAACAAGCUCCUUGGAACCGAGAAAGAGUUCAAGAGUUUCAUGGAGAAGUAUGAGAAGAAGUACCCUACUAGGAAGGAGUACAUGCACCGGCUAGUUGUUUUUUCCAAGAACAUGAUCAGAUCCGCCGAGCACCAAGCUCUGGAUCCGACGGCGGUUCACGGCGUCACGCCGUUCUCGGAUCUGGAGGAGGAGGAGUUCGAGAGGAUGUACACCAUUCCUCGAAAAGUUAAAGUAAUCUUUUUUAGAAAUCGAAUGGAUUCGGUCUUAUACAUACGCAAGGAAGGUAAUAAAAAAAAAGAAAGAUGAGUUCUUUUAUCACUUAGGAGCUGUGCGAGAUAAAAGUCUCAUGCACGGUUUUGAAUGAGAGAAAGAAGUGAGGAAUCCUUUUUUCGACACUGACUCUCCCACUCCAGUUGUUGCUUUUUUUUUCUUUUUUUUCUGUUACUUCAAAAGUCGUUGCUUCAGUUUCAGCCACUCGAAUUUUCGAUGUUCUUUUUUAUUUCUCAUCAAACGAAUGGCAUUUUCUUCCUAUUACUCAAACAAGCAUGAAACGUAUGCUUGCGUAUUCGUCCAUAGGUCAAAUUGGAUAUGUAAUUAUUGGAAUAAUUGUUGGAGACUCAAAUGGUGGAUAUGUAAGCAUGAUAACUUAUAUGUUGUUCUAUAUCUCUAUGAAUCUAGGAACUUUUGUUUGCAUUAUAUCAUUUGGUUAGAGGUGCGCCCGGCUUAACCAACGGCGGAGGCGGUACGGGGAGCACGGUUGAGCUUCUGGAUGUUAGCGGGUUGCCUGAGAGUUUUGAUUGGAGAGAGAAAAAGGAGCUGUUACUGAGGUCAAGAUGCAGGUAGUUUCUAAUUUUCGUUUUAUUUCUGAUUUUUUAGGUUGGACACACAAUAUAUGUGAUUAACAGUUUCGGCCGUACUUAAAUCCUAGCUUUUUGCAAAUCAAGUUAUGGCACAUACGAUAUAGAAGUCUCGUAGCUGGUUGUAAAUUACUAAAUUGUGUAAUCUGAAGUCGAUCAGCUGAUCAGGUGCUGCUGGUUCUUUUGUUUAAUUGAUUGUAUAACUAGCUUGACUUUGAGAGUUUGAAGUUUUGUACAGAAAGAUUUGUCUAAUAGAGCUAGGGUGUUUGUGGAACAUGGAAUUAUUCUUCAGGCAAGGAGUUGUAUUGUGAUACUUAAAGCCUCUAAAUCUCUUGUUAUGGAUGCAGGGUGGCUGUGGGUCGUGCUGGACCUUUAGCACAACGGGAGCUAUUGAAGGAGCCAAUUUCAUUGCCACUGGGAAGCUUGUUAGUCUCAGUGAACAGCAGCUUGUUGACUGUGAUCACCAGGUAAUUAAGCCUAGCCUCUCUGGAAUAUAUUGAAGUACUCAUUUAACUUUAGGGCGAUAAAAAUUUAAUUGAUUGAGCAUAUAUAUAAUAUUUGGCAUGCCUACUUAAUUAGUUUCGUUUAAUGUUUGUGGCAACUAUAAUCAAGUGUGAUGCAAAAGAGAAAGAUGCAUGUGAUCGUGGUUGUGGUGGCGGACUUAUGACAAAUGCCUACAAGUAUCUAAUGGAAGCAGGAGGGUUGCAAGACGAGGUUUCAUACCCUUAUACGGGGAAAAAGGGCGAAUGCAAAUUUAAUCCUGAAAAAGUAGCCGUGAGAGUAACCAAUUUCACCACUAUUCCCCUUGAUGAGAAUCAGAUUGCAGCGAACUUGGUCCACAAUGGUCCUCUUGCCAGUGAGUACUAAACCUGAUAAUAUGCUUAAAAAUAGCUAGGCUUUUUAUGUAUCUAUGUGUGCGUACAUAGAACUGCCUUAAGUGUCUUAUUUUCUGAAUAUGAUGUGCACUGUUUAGCAUAUUUAGAUCUGAGUGUAGAUACACCCCACUGAUACAGAAUCUUAAUUGAUGUAUGUAUGCGCAGUUGGCUUGAAUGCUAUGUUCAUGCAAACCUACAUUGGCGGUGUGUCAUGCCCUCUUGUUUGUUUCAAGAAAUGGGUGAACCACGGUGGUUCACUUGUUGGAUAUGGUGAGAGUGGCUUCUCGAUUCUCAGGCUCAGCAACAAGCCGUAUUGGAUCAUCAAGAAUUCAUGGAGCGCAAAAUGGGGAGAACAUGGUUAUUACCGACUUUGCCGAGGCCAUGGCAUGUGUGGGAUGAAUACCAUGGUGUCUGCAGUUGUGACCAGUACGCGGGCAUCCUAGCUGCAUCUCCCGAGAUUAGCUAGUAUAUAAUUAUACACUAUAAUAUUAUAUGCACCUCUCCCUUGUUUUUUCUUAAUCCGAAUUUGAUGUUCCUAUAAUCAUAUUUCAACAAUAUUAUUGUUAAUAUGCCGAAGUGGAAAGUCUUGUUUACGUCAAAACCAAUUCGAACUAUAUUUUGUUAGCUUUAAAUGCUAGAUUGUCAGACUUCAAAUUUAAGUCGGAAAAAUUUUACAAUAUGUUAAUGCAUGUUAUGCAUCAAUUUUAUCCUAAAAUUGUAAAAUGAGUCUCUAAAGUAGUAAUAUUAGUCCUUGAAGUUGUAAUAUAUACGAGUAGUUGUAAAUUUUAAAGUUACAACAUUAGUUAUCAUGUGUCCUUAAAGUAAAUUUUACAGUUACAACAUUAGUCAUUGUGUCUUUAAAGUGAUAAAAUGCGUGCUUAAAGUGGUAAUUGAAUCCUCAAAGUGAUUGAAAAAGUUUUUAUAUCUUUGAGGAUUUGUAUUACAACUUUGAGGAUUUGUAUUACAACUUUGAGGACUCAGUUACCUCUUUAAGGACACAUAAGGAUUAAUAUUGUAACUAAUUUUUUUACAACUUUAAAGACUUAUAUUACAACUUUAAGGACUAGCUAAUAUUACUACCGUAAGACUCGAUCAUUUUAUAACUUAAGAGCAAAGUUGAUACAUCACAUGCAUUUUUUUUUUAUUGGUUAAUGAUCGAGGAUAGGCGAAUAAUCACCUAUCACUCUAUGUUAUUAAUAAAAGAAAAAAGAAACAAAGGAGGGGGAUCAAAACCAAAACAUCCUAAAACAAAUGACAGACUAGCUGAAACGAAAUUGAGGCAUACCUCUAACAUCGUUAUUAUAAGACAAUAAUAUGAAAGGUGGAGGCUCAUCCCACCAUAUCAAUUCAGAGCAUGACGUACCUUGAUUUGCCAGAGCAUCAGCUAUCUUAUUCCCUUCACGAAAAAUAUGAGUAGCCUUGAAAUUCAUUUUAGAGAUUCGGUAUAAGCAAUUCAACCAACGAACUCGAAGAGGCCAAGGAACAAGAGAAGGUCUGCGAAUAUAAUCAAGUACCAAAGAUGAGUCAACUUCCAACCAAAUAUGCUUCCAAUCACGAACCCAAGCAAGCUCAAUAGCUUUAAUAACAGCCAUUAUCUCCGUUGAAAUUGAACUAGGAAUUUCAAGAUUAGAGGCAAAAAGCACCUAGAAAGUGGCCCUUGUAAUCUCUAAAAAUAGCACCAUAACCACCCACUCCCUCUUCAUGCUUCCAAGAGCCAUCAGAAUUUAUCUUCACCCACCCAAGAGAAGGAGGAAUCCAAUUAACUUCAACCACUCUAGGAGUGGCACGAGGUCGACAUGGGGCUCCAAAACAUUUCAAAAUUCGUAGCUCCUGGACACUGUUAUGCAUAUGACCCGUUGUAAGAUGACUAGUGGCUCUUAUAUGACUUGAUAUUAGCUUGCAAACAACUUCAACUGAAAAGCGACAACCAUCAAAUCUGGUUUUAUUUCUCACAUGCCAAACAAACCACAAAAUGGAGGUAAAGCAAAUAAGCCAUAAUUCCAUUAAUUGAGGACUUCUUCCAUUCUGCAAACCCAACCCAUAAAGCUCCAAAAUAGAAGAAGGAAUCAUACCUAACUCAAAAAUAGAGCCAAAGUGACAGAAGAGACGCCAACGGCACCAACACCCAAAGCCAAAGGUAAAGUGUUCGUCAAAGGACUCCACAAUUCCAAGAAUGCUUUCCAUGUGCUCGUGCAAUAAUGGUAAGGAUAUCGAGAGACGCCAACGGCACCAAAUAUUCCAGCUUGAUUCAAUACGCCUUCAAAAUUGGCUAAUAUGAAUUCUGUCCACUCCAUUACGCCUAUCUCAAGUGUAGCACAACCCCGGAAACAAAGGCUCGAAGACCAAUCUUGUUUGGUGUUUAGCAUCCUGUGAAGUAUCGGGUAAAAAUUCUCUUCGAAAGUGAAAAGACCUCCAUCAUGUCUGUUAUCAACCUUCUCCAAAGUAUGCCCCUUAAAUACAUGGGAAAAGUUGUGGGUUGUUCUUAUCACUUGAUCCUCCAAAUCUUGGCGAAAUGUAAGAAAGCCUGAGUUCAUUUCAACUUCUGUCACCAAGGUAAUGAUGUCUUUAGGAGGGACAUCAACAUGAAUGGAGCUUAAAGGCUGUGAUCUCACGUACUCUAUGCCCUUUCCAACAACCUGCCUGUGUUUGUCCAAAGCUGCCUCGCGGGAAAUUCGACCAUAUGCAUCCAUUACCUGAGAUUAUAGCACGCAGAGAUGUUAAAAGCAAGCAAUAGCAAGUCAAGCUUUGCGCGAGAAAAGCAAGUUCCACGUACAAAGCUUGAGGGGGCACUGUUGAUACCAAAAAAAAAGGAUUACAGAAAAGGAAAAAAAUAAAUAAAAUAAAUAAAUGGAAGAGUAUUUAUUCAUGUCAUACUCUUCCGUUGGUUUUGAUUACACGCACAAAGCUUUUGAGUUCAAUUACAACUCUUGCAAGCAGGUGCUUGGAUAAGAACAAAUCAGUACGAGCACCAGAGUUUGAUUGUAACUCAAUUAUCCUAACCAAGCACUCUAUAUAAAGAGGCCAAUACCUUCAAAAAAAAAAAAAAAANAANNNNNNNNNNNNNNNNNNNNAACACCAACGGGAGGAGGCAGGCGGGCAACAAGGAGGAUCACAAAGGAGCGGUUCAUUCUUUACAAGGUUCGGAUGGAGAGUUCUCUUUCUCUUUGCGCAGCUCUCUUUAUGUUCUGUUGAUGGAGGCAUCACUGCCUUCAUAUUCCUCGCAGAUGGCCUCUGGUGUUCUUGGUUACUAUUGUUCCUGGUCACCCAAAUCCCUUGCGGAUCGAUCUGGUUAUUAUAGUUACUGUGUUCUGUUGGUUACUUGGUUACUACUGUGUUCUCUUGGUUACUUGGUUACUCAAAUCCCUUGUGGAUCGUUCCUGGUUACUCGUUACUUGGUUACACAAAUCCCUUGCGGAUCGUUCCUGGUUACUUGUUACCCUAAACAUUGGUUACUGGAUACUAUGGUUACUGGAGACUAAUGGCUACUAUGGCAAUGGUUCUAUGUUACAAUGGUUAUAUGACACUAUGGUUACUAUGAUUCUGGUUCUAUGGCUACUGUAGCACUAUGGUUACAAUAUGGUUCUGGUUCUUUGGGUACUUUGACACUGGUUACUAUAACAGAUCGGUUGCCCUUUGAUCCUACAAAACCAAACACAAAACCAAUACUCAAAAUUCCACCACAAAAGGCCAUUGUUGUCCCUGUUCCCUGUUAACCACCACAGCCAAAUACCUUUCCAAAUUCCAUGUUUCAAGCACCAACUCAAAUACUGUGCAAUGAAACUAAAAGAGACAAUAACAGAGGCUUACCCUCAAACUAUGACAAUCGAUCUAUUCCGAUACUACAACUACUACCUGUGUUUCAUACCUUCAUGCUGUAGCAGGAAUGGUGAUGAUAUUGCAAAAAGAGAACAGCAAGUUCCUGUCAAGUUAACCUCACAAAAACAUCCGAGCAAAGAGAGUCAUUGAUUCUUUGGCUCUGUCCCUUUAAAAAAAACAAAGGGGGCUCGGUGAGUUUUCUCAUGAUUCUUCUCCAAUAUCACAAGAUGACAAGAAUCAAGCUUGGCGGUGACCCUCCCAAACAGAGAAGGCUUACUCAAACAUAAAUAUGCAUUCACCACCAUGGAGUAAAACAAAAGAAGCAAACUUAAUUAAACAAGUUUUGUUUCUGGAAGUUCCAAGGCAGCGAGCCGAAUACACCCACAGUCAAAUAAAUUGGAGCUAAGAAGUUUAGAGUCUCAAAGCAAAAGACGUGUUCUUCCUCAAAUUAAAGCCUGCAAAUUGAAGCCUGCAGCAAAAUUAACCUACUCGAAGCUAAGCUCAUCCAUUCGACGCUAAGCUAAUCUACUCGAAGUUAAGGAAGCGAAGGAUAAUUAAUUUUGCCAUUGAAGAAUUGUAACAAAGCACCUAUCCAACACAAGGCAGUAACCAAAUUGAACGCUACCUGUGAAGAAACAAGCUUUUGACCAGUGGGAAAUCCUUCGAAAUUACUCUGAAGCAUAAUGGAGAUACUUUCGUCAUGAGGGUAUUUGAAUUGUAGGGAUGAAAGCAGGAACACAAUAGGGGUUAUCCUUACCCAAUUUCGCACAGUGAGAAAGAGCACAGCAAAUCUCAAGCCUCCCAGUGUUGAUAAAUUUCUUCUCGGCGACUUAGGAGCACUGCCAUCACCAAGUCGGUUGCUGCGCCAACCCCUCUCCAUUUGAUCAGUUUCGGCCUUCAAGUUCUUCUGGGUUACAAUAAACAAGGCAGCAGAAGAUCAAAAGAAAGAAAAGAAAUGAAGAAUGGGGAGAGGGAAAGCUAACGGGCCUCCACAUUGACGGAUGCUACUCACAAGCAAGGCCCAUGUCAAAUUUGGGCCCAUCUGAAAAGUUCAACGAGGCUCAAUAUAUGGGUGUUCAAAUCAAAAUACCCAAACUUCGGUUUCGUUUAAAAAUUCUUCGGAACCCGAAUGAAGUUGCGUUUGGUACAAAACCAAGAAAUACUCAAAUACCCAAAUUUUUGAACUACAAUGGUUUGAUCCCUUCACAGGGUAUGUAGGCAGUCCAGAUUUAAAUCUGGAUAUAACCACAUUUAAAGCCAAAUCGUUGGUUCUUUCCAAGCCAAAUUCUAAAACACAUAACCAAACCUUUCGACAAGUCAUCUACUUCGUCGAAACCCCAAAAGCCAUAAAACUUGAACUACGAGUGACUUGAUCCCUUAUGGGGUACGUAGGCAGCCUGUAAAACAAAUCGGGUGCAGUCGCAAUUCCCCUCGAACACACAUUCCCCAUUUGUUACUUUGUAAUUAGAAUCAAAGGGUCUUCCCCCGAAAGCAAGGGUUGUAAUUAAGAAAUUUAUUUUAUUUCGAAUGGGUCGAACCAGACAUAAUUAAAACUCUAUUUUAAUCAAUGAGAUAGAGUGAAAUUGUGUUGGGUAUAUUUAUUUACAAUUUUUGCUCAACAUAGUUUUUGGCGACUUCACUGGGGACUCUCAACUGGUCAUCAGACAAAUAAAUGACGAGUAUGCAGUCAAAAAUGAGAACCUUAUAUCAUACUACCAAAGAGUUAAAUAUCUCCUGGGACAAUUUCGAGAGAUAUAUGUUGGCCACAUUCCAAGAUCAGAGAAUGAUAAAGCAGACGCAUUGGCUAACUUGGCAGCUUCUUUAGUACUUCCUGAAGAGAAAGACAUCCAAAUAACAGUUGGAGAACGUCGAUUGCAGUCCUACGUCACUUGAACGAAUGGAAGCUACCAAUGAAACAAAUGUAGUUUCUGUGUUCGAAACUGAGGAAGAAUCUGAUUGGCUCAAAUUGAUGCAGUGAACGAGCAAGAGAGGAAAGUAUGAUUCAAAGUCUCCGAGCAAACACCACAAAGCUCACAUCUAGAAACCCAAGGAAUACCUCGACGCUGAAGUAAAACAUCAGAAAUAACUCUACCUCUUAACACCUUCCAUGCUAGGAAAGACAUUCUUGGCAGAAUAUAUUUAGCCCAUAAUCUCUUACCCCAAAUUACUGGAUUAGAAGAAUGCCGCAUAAAAGUAUAGGCUUGUUUUGCGGUUAACUCAUCGGAGGCUGAAGAGGUCCAUAUAAGUUUGUCAUUAACUGAAGGAUCUUCUGACACAGGGACUUGAUUGAUCAUACCACAUAAGGCUGGGUAGUGCAACUGUAGUAAUGGAGGAAGAUUCCAUGAACCAUUGUCUAUAUAUUUUGACACCAAAUCCGAGUUAUCCUGCAUCAACACAUUAGAACCAAAGAACUCAUUUAUUGGCCUACCCAUAAACUUGUCGCGCCAAAAGUAAAUUCCAUUCCCAGAACCAAUGAACCAUUGAGAAUUAUCUUGAACAGUCUUCCAGAAUUGACGAACACCAGGCCAUAUAGAAGAAGGAGCAUAAGAUUUCCGUCUAGAGAAACGAUUGCGAAUAAAAGCACAACCCUCAGAUUGAGCUGUAUAGAUUUCCCAGCAACGUUUCAAUAAGAGAGAUCGAUUAAGCAGAACUAGUUGUUUGAGCCCCAAGCCACCUUCUGCAAUUGGGGAACAACAAGACUUCCAAGCCACAAGAGGGAUCCCUCUUUUAUCAAUUGAGCCAGACCACAGAAAGUUUCGGCACCAUACCUCAAUUUUUCGCACCACAGACACAGGCCAUUCAUAUACUUGAAAAAUGUAUACCAACAUGCUAAAAAUAACAGACUUGAUAAGCUGCAAACGUCCUGCCAUUGACAAAAAAGAACUCACCCAACUCGAUAACUUUAUCCUUAUUUUGUCAACAAUCUGAUGGAAAUAAGAAGCACGAGGUUUGCCAUGAAAAAUAAGGGCACCCAGAUACAUGAAUGGAGCAGACCCCAAGGGAAUACCCAAGAAGUUCGAAAUAGAAUGCCGCCUUGAAUGUAUACUAUUUCCAAUAAAAACCUGAGACUUCCCUUUGUUGAUAACUUGACCUGAAACUCUACCAUACUCAUCGAAGAACCGCAUAAUCCGCGAUAAAUUCCGCCUAUUGCCCCGAAAAAAAACAAUAACAUCAUCUGCAAAUAGGACAUGAGAUGGAGCAAGAGUAUUUCGUGGAGAAGAGAUACGCUGCAGUUGUCCCGAUGAAACAAGUAAAGAGAUCCCACGACUAAGGACUUCUUCUGCUAAGCAAAAGAGCAAGGGAGAAAGAGGGUCACCUUGACGCACACCCCUUUCACAAGAAAAAUACCCCACAGUCCUCCCAUUAAUCAACAGAGAAAGCUUGGCUGACAGAAGCAAGGCACGCACCCAUUGUACAAAGAUCGGAUCAAACCCAAAAGCCUGAAGAACAUGAAGAAGAAAAUCCCAUGACAGAGUAUCAAACGCCUUUGUAAUAUCAACCUUAAUUGCAAGGUUACCCCCCAUGACAUUUUGAGUUCAACAAAUUAAAGCACUCUGAAGUAGUUAAUAUACAGUCUGAUAUGUUCCUCCCUGCAACAAAAGCAUGCUGUUGAGGAGAAAUAAUACGAGAUGCCACUGAUGCCAACCGGAUAGCUAUGAUCUUUGGGAUAAUUUUAAACACAAAGUUGGUGAGGGCAAUAGGCGAAACUGCUUUAUGGAGUCGGCAUGAUCAACUUUGGGGAUUAAGAUGAUAAUACCUGAGUUAAAGGAAGGAGCCAAAUAACCAUGUUGAAAAAAUACUGAACAGCCUUAACAACAUCAGCACCAACAACAUCCCAGCAAGAGACGAAAAAAUGGCCAUUAAAUCCAUCUGGCCCCGGGGCACUAUCAGGAUCCAUUGAUUUGACAGCUGCCCAAAUUUCCUCUGAUAAUGGAACACUAGUAAGCAUCGUAUUUUCCUCAGGAGUUACCAUAGAGUGAAUCACUUUGGACACCAAGCCACUAUCUUCAUACUCUGCAUGUUUAGUAAAAAGAUUUUUGUAAUAAUCAACUAUAUGAUUUUGGAUAUAAUGAGGAUCCUGAAGCACCUGAUCUCCAUCACGAAGCAGAGUAAUAGAAGAACGAUUUCGGCGCACUUUACACAAAGCAUGAAAAUAAGAAGAAUUACGAUCACCUUCUGAUAACCAUCGCAACCUUGACUUCUCACGCCAAAGAAUUUCCUGAUGCAGAAUAGACUCAUUCAAAAUGGCCUGCAAUUCAGUCUCUUUUUCAAACUCUUCAUCUGAUCCCCCAGAAGCUGCAAUUUUAUUUUGAAUAUCAGCAAGGGCUGCAAGGUCAAACUCAACCCGACGGUGAACAUCCCCAAAGACCUCCCAGUUCCAAGUACGGAGAGAUUUCCUUAAGGUACGCAGCUUAUAUUGCAGGACAGAAUAAGGACAACCAAACGAAGUAGUAGAGGACCAACAUCCUUUGACAAAACUCAUAAAAUCCUUAUGCUCCAACCACAUUUUUCUAAACCGAAAGAGACUAAAACGAGACCCUGUAAACUUAGAAAAGGACAUUAGUAGUGGAUUAUGAUCAGAGCAAGUUCUGGGUAAGGUGCAACAGUCAAACUGAUCCCAUUCCUCCAUCCAAUUCAAAUUAGCAAGACUUCUAUCUAAUCUUAGCUCCACAUUACCACGAAAACCACGCCGUCUCACCCAUGUAAACUCUGCCUCUUUAGUAUCUACAUGAAUAAGUUCACAAACAUCUGACAUUGUCUGAAAUUCCUCACAUGAUCGCCGACAUAGAGGAGCACCUCCUUUCUUUUCAUGAGCACCAAGAACUGCGUUAAAAUCUCCAAAAACCAACCAUGGUCCUGUAACAAAACGACCUUUGAAAUCAGUAAUAUCUUCCCAUAACUUCCGGUGGCCAGAGAUUGUGGUACGAGCGUAGACAGCUGUAAGAAAACAGUUUACCGAAUCAAACAUAACUUGUAAAGAAACCUGCUGAUCCGAGGUAGACAACACCCGAAUCCAUGGAGCCAGAGAAGUCUUACAAAAAACCCAUAGAUUAGGUAAUGCAGAACCCCGGUCAUUUGCACCAACAAAUCGCAUGCCUAACGAACGCCAAAAGAAUAGAGGAAUUGAAGUCAAGGCAACGAAAGGCUCAGCUAUACAUAAAACUUCCAGGUUGUGAACCCGUACAAACUGUUUCAAAGCAUCUUGAGUGGGGACAUUAGCAAUGCCCCGUAUGUUCCAAUAAAGAACCCUCAUUUAGGAGUGUCUUUGGAGCGACGGAGAUAGGCUUCCCUAUUCUCCUUCGAAGCAGCCUUCCUCUUUUGAGACCUGGACAUAACAACAGUAAAACCAUCAUCAAUGUCAACUCGUUCUGUCUCCUCAUACCAGCUAUCAAUUCGAGUUACUGAAUUUGCAGCAACAGCAACCCCAAUGUCAGAAGACUGCUCAUGCAUACUACCACCGGCAGAGUCAUCUUCACUAUUCUGCUCGUUCUGAUCAAUUGCAUACCUAGUAUCAUCUUCUUGCUCAACCACAUUACCAUGGAUAGCUACUGGUACCAAAACCACAUUCACCCCCGGCUCAACCACUUCUUGGACAGGUGCCACCACUUCCACUAGCGGUUCCGGCACAACACUAGAUAUCACUAGUUGGCCGACCGGUGCUGGAGACUUCUGCACAAAGGAAGGACCCUCACCAAAAUCUUCCCUGGGGUUUGGAGUUGAAUCAAUAAUCAUGCUCUUACCUCGAUCUGCUGGAUUAGAUGGGUUUUUAGGCACAUACACUUUGGAGACUCGUUGCUGAUCACGGUUCCUGCGAGAUCGUCUACUACGCUUGCGCGAUCGACCUCUGCCUUUCUCAGUCUCAUUAUCCAUUGGAACCGGGUCAGAAGAUCUAUGCACAUACUUGCAAGCUGUGACAAGGUGCCCAACGUUGCCACAAUGAGCACAAAUAUGUGGAAGCUUCUCAUAAUCCACAGUCUGAACAAAAGACGAACCGCACUUACGCUUGACAACCAAUUCAUGCGGUGGAUCAACAGAGAGAUCAAUAUCAACCAAUAUUCUAGCAAAUAGGGUUCUAGGUUCCCAAAACUCAAGCCCUAGAUCCUAAAACCUCACCCACACCUGAGCAUUAGUAUUACGUUGAUUCGCUGGGGAGAAAUUUGGAACCCAUCGCAUGAAACGCAAGAAGCCAGGCUUGAGAGCAAUUGCACCCUUUACCCAGACUGUAGAGAGAUCCUCAUCCGUAGAGAAGCUAAACGUGAAAUAACCUUUUCCCAUGGGAAUAAUCUUCCAAGCCCCUAGACUUCCCCAAAGAAGAGAAAGCUUAUGAGACAGAUCUGAUGCAGAGUAGGGUUUAUCCCUCAAACCCAAUUGCACCCUUCCGAUUAACAUAUGUUUACAAUUAUCCAAACCCGAUUGAUAGCCCUCUUCUGAAAUAGUAACAGUUGUCUUGCCAUCUAAAAUCUCAGGAAUAGGUAGAUCAUCAAUUGGGAUGAAAGCUUGCGCCGCCGCCGCCGCAUAAGAUUUCGUCGGCUUCGCAGCCCCCUCGUCGAGAAAAGACCACGGGCAGAAGGGACGAUGCUGAACAGCCAUGACGUCGUGAAGCAAACGGAACUCGAAUUCAAGGAUUUACUGCAGGGAGGCUCCAGCACGGGGAAACCCUAGCAGAGCCAUCACCAACAUAAUGUAACUCGAUGCAUCACAUCCAUUAACACACUAUAGUCUUACCUUUUAAGUUGAGUCAAUGCAAGAGUUGCACUAUUUAGACCAUUUGGUUCUUCCGAAAAUAUGUAUUAUAUUUUUGAGAAUUUCAACGUCUGUAGUAGAGUCGACGAGGAUUUUAGAUUUGAUUUCGUCGAUGGCGUUGUCGAGCUAUUGCGUCAAUAGGAUGAUGAAGAGCAACCGGAAUCACCUCUCUUCUGACGCAAUUUGUUUUUCAAAGAUCUGGUCCGUUGCACUGGCCGGUCGAAGCCUUUUCAGUUCUCAAAACAGUUCAGAAACUACAGGUCUGAUAAUGAAAUGCAUAAAACAUUUAUAACUAUUGGUAAUUUAUAUCCUAGAGUUGUUCGAGUGUACUAACCACAGGAAAUAACGAUCUAGCUAGACUACCUUAUUUUCGUUAGGGCUGCUCUAAUUAGUCAACAUAUGCAGCUAGGUGAUGAUAAACUUACCCAAUUCGUUGUGAAAAUAAUUGAACCAUCAGUAGCCGUGAUAGUCCUUACGUACCUGCCCUUUCAUGAGCCUUAAUAUUUGGUGGCUUAUUAGCUACGCACUAAUGGUAGUUAAUUGUGCUUAUUUUGUGCAUGUGUGUUCUAAUACAAUUACCUACCUAGUUCUAAUUGUUCUAAUUCGUCGUGGAAUGUUUUCAGAGGAGAAAACUGAAUGGGGUAGCAUAGAGCCCUAUUACAAAAUAAUGUAUCUAUAACCUUCUCUAAUUUACAUAGUAAUUGACGCAAUUUGGCCGAACUGUUUCUGAACACACUGCUUCAGUUCUUUAUAAACCACGUACCAUAUGUAUGUAUUCAAGUGUCAGAUAUACUGAACCUACAUCGCCAAAAUGGAGAGAAUUCAGGUCAGUAUAAUUUCCAAACACACCGUCAAACCAUCAGCUUCCUCUUCACUACUUCGGGAUUGUCUAUGGUACAGCGCUGUAUGCCAUACAUCCUCUAACAGGACUUGUGUGCACGUGCCUUGCAGUGGGGGUGGGUGUUUUGUUUUGAAAUUUUUAGCCUUGAAAGCAGGCUGCAUAUCAUGCAGGGCUGCAGAUAGAAUUUUCCCUGAAUAUCACGCAUAUCAGCGCUGCAUGAUAUGUAUGAUUGUCUAUGGUACAACGCUGCAUAUCAUGCAGCGCUGCAUUAAAGCAGACUGCAUAUCAUGCAACGCUGCAGGAUAUGCAGCCUGCUUUCAAGGCUAAAAAUUUCAAAAUAAAACACCCCCACCUGCAAGGCACGUGCGACACAAGUCCUGUUAGAGGAUGUAUGGCAUACAACGCUGUACCAUAGACAAUCCCACUACCCUACUUCAGCCUUACAAGCUUACCCUGCUCGACCAGCUCACUCCUCCAUCGUAUGUCCCCAUGGUAUUCUUCUACCCCAUUACUGGCCCUGCAGUCUUCAAUCUUCAAACCCUAGCUGACUUAAGACAUGCCCUUUCCGAGACUCUCACUUUGUACUAUCCACUCUCUGGAAGGGUCAAAAACAACCUAUACAUCGAUGAUUUUGAAGCCGGUAUCCCAUACCUUGAGGCCCGAGUGAAAUGUGACAUGACUCAUUUUCUAAGGCUUCCAAAAAUCGAGUGCCUAAAUGAGUUUGUUCCAAUAAAACCAUAUAGUAUGGAAGCAAUAUCUGAUGAGCUUUACCCCUUGCUUGGAGUUCAAGUCAACAUUUUCGAUUCUGGGAUAGCAAUAGGUGUCU